UACGUAGGUGGCAAGCGUUGUCCGGAAUUACUGGGCGUAAAGGGCUCGUAGGCGGCCAACUAAGGCGGAUGUGAAAUCCCCAGGCUUAACCUGGGAACUGCAUCCGAUACUGGAUGGCUUGAAUCCGGGAGAGGGAUGCAGAAUUCCAGGUGUAGCGGUGAAAUGCGUAGAUAUCUGGAGGAAUACCGGUGGCGAAGGCGGCAUCCUGGACCGGCAUUGACGCUGAUGAGCGAAAGCUAGGGGAGCAAACGGG
rnacentral:rRNA from 1 species